CCUACGGGUGGCAGCAGUGGGGAAUAUUGGGCAAUGAGCGCAAGCCUGACCCAGCAACGCCGCGUGAAGGAAGAAGGCUUUCGGGUUGUAAACUUCUUUUAUAAGGGAAGAGCAUUAGCCUGUACCUCUUCUAUCAGACACGGCUCACUACGUCCCAACAGCCGCGCUAAUACGUAGGUCGCAAGCGUUGUCCUGAUUUACUGGGUGGAAAGGGCGUGCAGCCGGGAAGACAAGUCCGAGGUGAACUCCCGGGGGUCAACCGCGGAACUGCCGUUGAAACUGUUUUUCUUGAGUACGGGAGAGGUAAUCGGAAUUCCCUGUGUAGCGGUGAAAUGCGUAGAUAUAAGGAAGAACACCAGUGGCGAAGGCAGAUGACUGGACGGGAACUGACGGUGAGGCGCGAAAGCGUGGGGAGCAAACAGGAUUAGAUACCCGAGUAGUC
rnacentral:rRNA from 1 species